rnacentral:lncRNA from 1 species
AGCAGCAAGGACUAGACGAAACCCUGUAUGCUUCACAUAGCUUCAGAAUUGGAGCAGCUACAGCAGCUGGUUCAGCAGGACUCCCUACUUGGCUAAUAGCGAGGUUUAGCAAAGACGACGCGACGUCAAAGACGACGUGAAAAUGGCGUAAAAAUGGCGUGGGCACAUCCAUAGAUGGACAUAUCACGUCAUUUUUACGCCAUUUUCGCGUCAUCUUUGACGUCGCGUUGUCUUUGCUAAACCUCCCUAAUAAAGACUCUUGGACGCUGGUCCUCAGAUUGUUAUGAAAGGUAUAUAAGAACUCCGAGGGACGUUUUAGUGUCUGUAACAUCAAAACUCAUUGCAAAUACAAACCAAAAGGUCUAAGUCCACUCUGUUAAUUAAUAUAUUUACUUUAGCUGUUAGUGGUAUAGCUUGCAUGGUUAUGUGGAUCCUUUUCGCGUACUUCAUGGAGGGUUGGUCAUUCAUACCGUGAUUUCAUAAUGCAAACAGAUCCAUUGAAUUUGCGUUAAUGGUCCACAUAACCGGCUAAUAAUUAUAAGCGUGUCGUAGCCGGACUUGGCCGCGUCGGCAAUGAACUGAAACGGGUCUGUAACUAGUUUUUCCAAAUAAAAACAAC